rnacentral:lncRNA from 1 species
CCAGGAGGCAGGAGCAGCCGCCACAGUGGGAGGGAGCAGCAAGCCAACAGCUGAGUGAGACAAGGCCUGGGUUAUUUUUUUUCCAGUUUGUUGGCAUGUGGGUGGAUUUUUCUCCUUUUUUCUUCUCUCUUGCUCUCUGCCGUUUCCACAGAGAUGUGGGAGUUUGCAAAUUUGUCUCAGUGGAGAGGAGAGAUGUACUGUUCCAUUUGGAGGCUACCGAAGUGAGCCCUGCUGCAAGAAAUGUAAGGACAUCCUUCUUCAGCUGCAGGACAUCAAGGUCUCUGGGCAUUCUCCUUCAAAUUAAAACAAAAUGCAGAACCCAGGACAAUUCCUGA